UAAGGAAAAAAAAAAAAAAAGAAAGACUCACCUGACGAAUCUCACCGGAGAGAAGUCUAGAUCUCUCUUCUUCUCUUCUACCACGAAGUUUGAUUCAUCACCGGCGAGAGGCGAAAUCCAGUUCUCCGACGUUAUAAUGCCGUUCAAGACGGUGAUAGAAGUGGAGCCUCCGAGUCUGUUGCGGUACUUGAUCGGAGCGGCGGUGAUGAUGAUCGGCGUCGUAUUACCCGUUGGUUACAUGAUGUUCCGCAACAAACGUGUCCCCUUCUCGUCUUCGUACUCUAAACAGACGUAGGUGGGGAAUCCAUGGUUGAUAGAUGAUCAAAAAAAUUAGUUGCUCCUCUUCGUUAAAGCUUGUUUAGGCUAAUGAAGGAACAAAGUUUUGAUAUAGGAAGCUAGAGGCUGCGGUUGAAUUCAACUAAGAAAAUGAGAAGGAUGAUGAUGACGUAUUGAUAUGGACGACUGUAAAAUUAUUGGGGAUUCUUGUUUUUACAUUGGCUGUAAGAGAUGAGCCUUCGAUAUCAGAUUCAUAAACCAUAUACUGUAUGUGAGUACUUUUUCUUUAAUGUUAUUGGUUGUUUCCUGCUUAGGUUAUUCCAGGUCUAUAAUGUAACACAAACUCUUCUAUUUGGUGGAAAGAUUAUCACUCACUCACUGGAAUUUAUAUGAUAUCGAGCUUA